CCCGGAGGGCGGGGCGAACGGAGCUGGCGGUACCGUACGCAAGCGCCGCUCAGUCUACGCCGAGCCGCUCUCUGCGCUUGCGCGACUCUUUUCCACUAAAGAAUUAGCCACAUGUGCGGCUCUCAGAGACUUCUGGGAGGUGGAGAUCCUGCAGGCGGCGAGGGCGGGGUACGGGGAAGCUCGCCGUUUAUCAGGCCAUGAAGGGAACCUCCCGAGAAGGGCGGUCGAUAAAGCACAUUGGCCUUGCUAGAUUCUACAUGCUCCCCAGAGGCGCGUCAGCCGCUGCGUGCCUGUCCAUUGUGGAGCCCGCUGAGAGCAUUGCUGACUCACGCUGGUGCCUGAGCGCUCAGAAGCCCCUCGCACCUUUUUGUGCAGUCGUGGAUUUUGUUCGGUUUUCAGGCCCUACGGGCUGCUUGUCUUGAUCAGAUAGCCAGCUCGCCCGCGACCUCUGACACUUGACGGCUCAGCAGACUUAAGCGAAUAACGCCCUUUGGGCCUUCCAUCACCCCUGGGCACUACCUCACUGACCGCCACUGGGCAAGAAAACCAGAUCGACAAGGGAAAGAGGACUCCUAACAGGGAAACUACAGAACUAUCUGGUUUCUUCAACAAUAUUGUAAAAGCUGAGAGAGAACUUGUGGCUUUUAAGAUUUAAGAAGCAUCCACCAAUCAGGGGACCUUGUUUGGAUGCAGAUGUAAAUUGUGACGUUUUUGUAGGACACUUGAAUUAAGCAUGAACAGAUUGGAUGUGACAUUAAAGAGCUGAUGACAAGUUGAACCACUA